rnacentral:lncRNA from 1 species
UGACGUAUCCAACAUAUAAAAGCGUUACCACGCGAGACUUACGUUCUUGAUCCUUUCUCUGGCGCCGUGGAAGCUCCUACUCUUCAACAUGCGGUCCUCACUUAUCGUGACGCAUUUAUGUCUAAAUAUGGACGUUACUGCAGAUGACCCUCCGUGAACAGGUGGCUUUCCUGAUAUGGAAUGAGACUCAUCUUAAGAAAGGCGUAGCCCUUAAUCGCAAUGAAGAUUCAGGUCUGUCCCACUAG